rnacentral:lncRNA from 10 species
AGGGAACGUUAUUUUCAACCUGAGAUUCUACAUUCAGCCACUAUCAGUAAGUGCAAGGAUAGAAUAAAGAUGUUUUUCAGAUGUGCAGGGACUCACAACAAAUCGACCAGCCUCCCAUGCACUCUGUCUUAAGAAACUGCUGGAGAUUGUACACCACUAAAACUAGGCUGUAAACCAAGAAAGAAGAGAUGGGGCUCAGGAAACAGGAGGUGGGAUUCAGCAGAGCAUUGAAUUCAAGACCUCGGAUGACAGCUGUGCUCAGAACUCAAAUGCAAGCUGCUCAGUUUGGGGCAGGAGGAAGAUCACAGGGGGAAUAUGGGAUCAGUACAUGAAGCGACAGGUCUUGCCAUGCAGAAACAAGAUCAUCAGGCAUUUGCCCAAGCUACAGGAGCAACUGGGGAAAAGAUAAGGCAAGGUUCAGAGAACACUAAAUAAACUUUUAGAUGAGGCCAUUCUUAAUCCUAGGACAAACAAAGGAAGAAAGGAAAUAUAAUCACUGCACAGGAAUUGCUCUGUCAUAAACAAUAUGUACACUGUUGUAAUAGUUAAACACUGACUACUGAUUUAAUUAAGAUAUUAAAGUCACUAUCCUGGGAGCGUAGGAGGAGGUGAAACCAGGCCCAAAGAGUUAAGGAAACCAAUGACCAGCAGAAAUUCUUGAGUUUGCAGGAUGGCAGGUAAGAAAAAGAAACAACUUGCUGAGACGCUGAAACUCCCCCUACUUGUGAGAUUAAAAAAACUGGCUGAAAUUGGCUGGGCGCAGUGGCUCAUGCCUGUAAUCCCAGCACUUUGGGAGGCCGAGGCGGGUGGAUCACGAGGUCAGGAGAUCAAGACCAUCCUGGCUAACACAGUGAAACCCCGUCUCUACUAAAAAUAUAAA